rnacentral:rRNA from 1 species
CGGGGUGCACCAGGCGCGAAAACUUUACAAUGCCGGCAACGGCGAUAAGGGGACCUCGAGUGCCAGGUUACAAAUCUGGCUGUCGAGAUGCCUAAAAAGCAUUUCAUAGCAAGGGCCGGGCAAGACCGGUGCCAGCCGCCGCGGUAACACCGGCGGCUCGAGUGGUAACCGUUAUUAUUGGGUCUAAAGGGUCUGUAGCCGGCCGGAUAAGUCUCUUGGGAAAUCCAGCAGCUCAACUGUUGGGCUUUCAGGAGAUACUGUCUGGCUCGAGGCCGGGAGAGGUGAGAGGUACUUCAGGGGUAGGGGUGAAAUCUUGUAAUCCUUGAAGGACCACCAGUGGCGAAGGCGUCUCACCAGAACGGACCUGACGGCAAGGGACGAAAGCUAGGGGCACGAACCGGAUUAGAUACCCGGGUAGUCCUAGCCGUAAACGAUACUCGCUAGGUGUCGGCCACGGUGCGACCGUUGUCGGUGCCGUAGGGAAGCCGUGAAGCGAGCCACCUGGGAAGUACGGCCGCAAGGCUGACACUUAAAGGAAUUGGCGGGAGAGCAC